AGCAGAAACACAACAGACACACGUGUGUAUCUUCACUGCUGCAGAGGAGAGAGAGAGAGAGAGCAAUGACUGAACACAAACACUACAACAACAUCACUACAAACUAAACCAACGAAGCAAAGUCCCUUACAGGAUCAGUGAAGUGUUGUGGACUGCAAGCCUGUUGAACAGAAGCAGAGACGAGUGGACAGACACUGACUGUACUGAUGAUGAUCAUCUGCUGCUGCACAGGCUGUAAAGUAUAACCCCUGCUGGACACGGCUCCGGAA